rnacentral:lncRNA from 1 species
UUGCAUAUUAUAAUUGUAACAUACCAGAUUUUGGUAUAAAAAUAAAAAUAAAUAAAAAUAGUGUGAGAAACUAUUUUUAUUGGAUUUAGAGAAGUAAAACAUAAGUCAGAAGUGAUUUGUGCUGAAAUCGGAAUGAAAAUAGCAAUUUAGAAUUUUCUGUUGGAAACGGGACUGAUAAAUUAGUAGAAAAUGCACAGUGUCAGAAAAUUAUGAAAACUAGAGGAUAAGUCAGAAUUAUUUUUAUGAGGCUAGAUUUAAAGUUUUAUGUCAUUCUGACACCCGGAACGUGAAAAAUAAAAUCCAACAGCUAUCUGAUAAAGAUUACUGUUCGGUACAGUUUUCGGUGACCAAACGGGGUCGAAAUUGAAAUAUUAAAAUUUUUUUGAACUCGUUAAGUAAAACCGAACAUGACUGUCGAGUUUGAGUUCAAACGGAUAUUCAGUAAGCUCCGGCGAAAGAUAUCAGAUUUCGAGCUGCCUGGAGUGAAUAGUGUUUUGGUGUUGACUAAAGAGGA